CCAACUGGGCAGAGGAUCCUCCUCCCAUCACUGCUGCCUAAACCACUCUAUGAUUCUCUGGUUUUGUCUGCUUUGUGUCCUGCUUCUGAAUACUUUGGCCAAAUUGAGAAUCCCAUUAAUCAAAUAGUGGAGAAAGUGAUCUUGGUGGUGAACAGUUGGUGCCUCCCAUCUGAUGUCCAUCAAGGUUUCUUCAAGAGUGCUGCAUGCAGCAUCUCAUGCUGCAACCAGAACAUCAGCACUGUGUUCGUGGGUGUGGAGGACAUCAGGAAAUCGUUGUGUGUAUUUUAAGGCCACUUGAAUUCUGGCUGCGUAUAGGCAGGGGUUUCGUCUCAGCCAGCUUCCAGCUAUACCAUCUUAAGCCAUGCUGAAGGAAACAGAUAUACUCUUCUCUUUGAUACUUUCCACAGGAACGUCUGAGAGCUUCUCAUAAAUCAUAGCCUUGCUAGACCAAACUGUGAGGUUGGGGAGGGGAUAAUGGCAACAGACCUGAUUUAUUUUUCUUCACCCAGCUUACAUUUCUUGUUCUCGGAAAAGGACUUGGGAACUGCAAAAAACCCCAACCUUUCCAUAACCUAAUGCAGUCAUCCAGAACCAGACAAAUGGAAAGCACAGACUGAGCAGAGAGACCCUGCCUUUCUUCAGGGUGCAGAGGGUUGUUUCUUUUUCCCAGGAAGCAUAUUUGAGAGUAGACUGUGCACACCACACGAAGGGAAGAUCACAUUUCCUUCCCAGGUUCCUUUUGUUCAUAAUAAUUACCAGCCAACACUUAGCCCUGGAGUCACAUGUCUACUGGUGAGAGAUGGGCUCUUUCUCUAAUCCUGGUCCUCCUCUCCCAUUAUUGUUUCAUUGACUGCUAUUGACUUUAUCACGCAGCUGGAAGGCAGACCCGACCGGGAGAAUCGCAGUGGCAAACUGGUGGGGCAGGUUUCCCUGGCCAGCAUUGCGACAGGCAGGAGAGAAAUAAAUAACUCCAAUAAUGCCAUUUAUCCACAGCCAAGAUCCAGGUCCUUCCAGGGUCACUGUGCACAUAUGCUGCAGCUUGAAGACAAUGGCCUGGAAGACCUGUUUGAGCCUUGGAAGUGCAAUUACAUUUCCACAGCCUCCCUACAUGCCUGAGCUUAGUGCAGUAUUACAUGGCCUCUAGAUUCACCAGCAAGUGCCCAACUUCAGACCUCUUUGGGUUUUUUUUCCAGAUCAUUCCUUUGAAUCAUAUGCUUGGAUGACCUUAAUUCAGCAGGACAGUGAAAUAAAAUCUCCAGAAGGGACUGCCUGGUGUGAGGGGGUUCCGUUCACAU